UAGUUGACUCUGUUCACCCAGCUCAGAUCACCCGGGUCAAUUAAGUAAACUAAAAAUACACUUAGUUCACCUAUGAUUUUCUUGGGGGUAUUAAGUAAACUUUAAGUAUAUUUGAUUCCCCUUUGUUCACCUGAGGUGCACAAAGCUAACAGACAGUAAAUUUAAUGCACCUGUGACCAAUUAUGGGUGCAUUAAGUAUACUUUAAUUUACUUUUUGUUUACUAUGUUAACAAAUUUAAUGCAUCAGUGACCCAUUAUGGGAUUUAUGUGGGUAUAAAAAGUACGUUUAGUGUACAAUACUGUAAAUCUACUGUGGUGUACCUACCUAAUUAGUAGUAGUAAAACACCUUAUUGAACUGAAUAAUUUAUAGUUAAAGAACUGUUUAUUCAAAAAAUUUAAGGACUGUAGUUUCGGAGACAAGAAGACUUCAGCACAUAAGUGCCGCGACAGUAUUUCACUUGUGAGAUAAAUUACCAGUCCCUCUCUAAUUAAUACCGCUUCAAAAAUACGGGUAGUCUAUUUCGCGGGCGAUAUCCUGGCGCGCCACUCCUGUUCUAGGCCGGAAUGUGGGGGAAUGGUUAUUUUUUACCCAUAUCUUAAAUAACUUCUAAACUAUUUAUCUUUAAUUUAUAAAGAGAUUCUCUUAAUGAGUCCUUUCAUUCAAUAUUUUAACACGAUAUUGUUUGCAUAACUUUUUUUUUAAUUUUUAAGAGUAAUUUAUAUACGUUUCAUGGCCGUCUUUGGGUUACAGACUUAGGUACUUCAAUAUCUGUACCAAAUGUUAACUGUAGUUAUUAACUGGUUACAUAGUUUCGGGACAAAUAGGCUACAGCUGGACAGAUAGACGUAUUUAACCGAGGCACAGAAGCCUAAAAAUCGGUCAAAUGCCUCUCGGGUGAUGGAUAGUUUUCGUAUCUUCAUAAGUGUCGCACGAUAUCAGAAAGCCGGCAGGACCGACCUGGAAUAGAACCGCUCCAUACAGAACAACAUGGAAAUCCAUGAAAGAGGCAUAUCUUCAGCAGUGGACGCAUAUAUUCUGAGAAGAAGAGAGAAUUUUAGCGUCGCAAAAGCCUACAAAUCUGUGCUUUUAAUUCUUUUGAAUCUCUACAAAAAAUGUUUUCUACUCAACAAUAGAUGCCGCUACAUGUCAUAAUUGUACUUAAAUAUUUACAUUUAAGAACGACGUUAUUGUGACGUUAAUGCCGUCGGUCUUACUCCAUCAUUUUAUUAAAACGUAUAUAGAUAAGUUAUAACAAAUUGUCUAUGCAUGAACAAAAAUAGAGUUGUCACCUUCUAUCAAAAAUGACAUUUUCAAUCAUUAGUGAACAAUUUGCUAAUACAGUCAUGAUAUUUUGAAUGUAUAAAUGAAAAAAAAUUAAAUACCCAACCACGACUUCGUAAACAUUGUGCCAUUUAUAUUAUAACUAUAAUAAUAAUCUUGAAACGCUGUGGCUACGUUCAAGAAGUCUAGCUAAAAAUUCCGUCACUCUUCCCAUCAUCCCUGAGAAUGUUGGGCUAUAUUGAAAUUAGUUGAUGUAGAACUAGCAUGUUGACGCUGACAAUAAGAGACCGACUGAGAAUAUCGUUGAGCGCGGCGUGCCUGUUGUGUUCAAAGGCGUCGUGGCGAGGACCUCGGGUGGUCGAUCACGUCGGCGUCGACAUCAUUACCGCAGUGGCACCGAGUCGCAGGCAGGUUGCAAAGCACUAAGUGUGAUAUUCGAAGAGAGUUUCAGUGUGUACAGACGGAAGAGCGUGUAACCAGACAGCAGAUUCCUUGCUGCUAAGCGUCUGGCGUAUGCAAAACCUGUGCUGCGUGAUAUAAAUGUCGGAGAACGGCUGAAUUGUGCCAUCAAUCGCUUUUAACAAGUGUAUAAUCACGCUAUCUUUUACAAAUAGAGCAAAAUCAAUCUUCAGACGAAAAGAAGCGGGAGAAGAUGGCGUUAGUGGUGGUUCUUGGGAUCAAAUCAAACCCACUGGUUUGCUUAGGCUAAGUAAUGUAACGUGUACUAUGAUUUUGUAAUCAGUAUUGUCCAGGAAAGACUGUGAGUUGAAUAUCGUUUUUCAUUGAAAGCCCUCGUCAUACACGAUUGAAGUUUUUAUUGAAACAUUCGUCGCCAGUGGUUUGUUUUAAGUCCAGCGGGAUUUUGUUAUAUAUGCUUUUCAUUUCUCAUUCUCUGGAAGUGGGCCGUUGUUCUAAAAAGUGUACAGAAAAUGAUAAGUUUCUGCUUUAGAGCACUGUACUUUUUAAGUUCAUCUUUUUGUACGAUAAGCAAUUAAAAUUUGGUUUUAAAUGGAUUUGUCUCUCUCCAUUCCAUAAAUACCGAUAUUUUUACCGAAAUUGUUAAUUGAAAGUACGCUACUGAAGUUUAUUAUUAUUAUUAUUUAAACUUUAUACCUACCUACCUAUUAUUUUAGUUUAUACCUACCUAGCAGUAUUUUGUGAAAUGCACAAGUCUUUUAAUUUCCUCAAAUAUGAAAUGAAAAUUAAAGUGUUUAACUCGGGUGAAAAGCACCAAUUCAAAUGGGUGCCUUUCAUCUCUUGGCUAACAAUAUACUAUUUAUAAAUUGUAUAUACAGAUGUCAAUCACAAGGAAAAAACAGCAUAUGGUUAUUUAUUUAAUCUAUUGAAUCGUCUAUCGUACUGGUGUGGGACGCAACGUGUGUCAACACCUUUCCACAGUCCCACAUUGGGGCAGCCCGCAAUCAGGCCGGCGCUGCGGUUGACCAGGCCCAGAUGCUCAAGCGCCGCAAAUACUCGGCCUUACUCAAAGUCUAUGAGUUUGCGCGGCGCUCUCGGUUGAGACUUUUGGUCCCUGGUCAGCCGACAUGAAAGCAUUUAUGAGGGCACUGUCGGCGCGGCUUGUCGACACAACAGGGGACCCCAGGACUGGCGCGUACCUCUCUAAACGUAUCUUCCUUGCGAUACAGAGAGGUAACGCCGCCAGUUUCAUGGGGUCCAUGCCGCAGGCAGAUUUAUUGGACGGGGUGUUCUCUUUGUAAUUGGGUUUUUUUAUUAUUUUGUAGGUAAGUAUAUUUUUAUUUUUCCUUUGUUAUUUUCUAUACUUAGUUUCAACUUUAGUAUUAUUUAUUUUUUUUAUUUAGGUUUUACGUUUUUAUUGGUUACAAAACUCUAGCAUCAUAGAAAUAAUAUUACGCCAUUCAAUAUUAUUUAUAAACGCGCUGCAAGGCUAAAUUAGCUUUUUCAUUUACGCUUUACAUCCCCUUCGGCCGCGUAUGUAACCGGAGUUUUGUAACCAGUUACCUAAGAAGAAAAAAUGAUCCUCAUAGGAUACUGGUAUCCAAGUGAUAUAUUUUUUUCCUUUCACGUAACCGAGUUACAACCUAGGAAAACUUCCUAAUGAUUACGAGUAAGUACUUUAUAUUCCUCGCAGGUAACUGCUUGAAAGAUAGGUAUGGUAUUAUCAACCUCUUUUGAUAUCAUGCACUCAACAUUCUUUAUAUAACUGACGUUUUCAUAACACCUAGCACGGUACUGCUACAACCUGAACGCACAAACUGAGACAGAAUAGUAUAGUACUGUUCUGUCUCAGCUUGUGCUGCCUACUAUUCUGCCCCGCUGCUCUGCCCUCGUGUGAAACGGGCAUAACUUUGCAACUCAAAUAUCAUGAACUAAGCGUAAUACUUUCUGUUGCCAUGGUACUUUUCACUCUUUUCUCACCACGAUAUUCGUCACUUAUUCCAGAUGUCUUCAAUUACAAAAAAAAUAAUAUGGUAUAGGUCCUCGGUAAAGCAUGGGUCCGGAUGACUCAUUGUUUCAUAAGAGUAUUAUUUAUUCCUUACUGGAUACUAGUUACGAACAAUCAUACAGGUAUCAGUAAAGGUAAAAAUCCUAUUACUUGGAUACCAGUAUCCUAUGAGGAUCAUUUUUAGGGUUCCGUAGCCAAAUGGCAAAAAACGGAACCCUUAUAGAUUCGUCAUGUCCGUCUGUCUGUCCGAUUCUGUCACAGCCACUUUUUUCCGAAACUAUAAAAGCUAUACUGUUCAAACUUGGUAAGUAGAUGUAUUCUAUGAACCGCAUUAUGAUGUUUACACAAAAAUAGAAAAAAAACAAUAAAUUUUGGG